AUGGCUCAGAUUGAACGCUGGCGGCAGGCCUAACACAUGCAAGUCGAGCGGAUGACGGGAGCUUGCUCCUUGAUUCAGCGGCGGACGGGUGAGUAAUGCCU
rnacentral:rRNA from 1 species